rnacentral:rRNA from 1 species
CCCUUAGAUGUCCUGGGCCGCACGCGCGCUACACUGAGUGUCUGAGAUACGAGUCUGCCUGGUCCGGCAAGGUCUAGGUAAUCGCUAAAAGACACAUCAUGCUUGGGAUAGAUUAUUGCAAAUAUUAAUCUUGAACGAGGAAUUCCUAGUAAGCGCAAGUCAACAGCUUGCGUUGAUUACGUCCCUGCCCUUUGUACACACCGCCCGUCGCUACUUCUGAUUGGAUGUUUAAGCGAGGUUCUCGAACUGCUAGCGACUUAGCUUCGGUGAGGUCGCAGUGUGGGAAGUGAACCUAGCUUUGGUGUCUAGAGGAAGUAAAAGUCGUAACA